rnacentral:rRNA from 1 species
AAAUAUUCCUGCACCGCCAACGAAUGUUUCCACAGGGGGGACGGAGAAACGUAGCCGAGCCGGAUAUUGGAUACCGGUUCAAGCCCGUAGGGAGACACGCUAGGAGGCCUCGUGCCACAAACGGCGUGUCAAUCCUGAGAGGUGAUGAAGAGGACGCUUGCGUCCAUCAAUUCGGUAAUCGUCCGCUUCCAAGAAAAGCCUCGGUGGAGUCAACAUCGUCGGCGACCGUACCGCAAACCGACACAGGUGGGCGGGGAGAAUAUCCCAAGGCGCUUGAGAGAACCCUGCCUAAGGAACUCGCAAAAUGACACCGUAACUUCGGGAGAAGGUGUGCCCUCAUUACGUGAACCGCGCACGCGGGGAGCGGACGGGGGUUGCAGAGAAUCGGGGGUAGCGACUGUUUACCAAAAACACAGCACUCUGCGAAGUCGCAAGACGACGUAUAGGGUGUGACGCCUGCCCGGUGCCGGAAGGUUAAGAGGAGGAGUCAGCGCAAGCAAAGCUCCGAAUCGAAGCCCCGGUAAACGGCGGCCGUAACGAUAACGGUCCUAAGGUAGCGAAAUUCCUUGUCGGGUAAGUUCCGACCUGCACGAAUGGCGUAACGACUUCCCCACUGUCUCGGGCAGGGACUCAGCGAAGUAGCACUGGGGGUGAAGAUACCCUCUACCCACGACAGGACGGAAAGACCCCGUGAACCUUCACUACAGCUUGACACUGAUUUUCGAAGUGAUUUGCGUAGGAUAGGUGGGAGGCUAUGAAGUCGGGAUUCCGGUCUCGGCAGAGCCAACGUUGAAAUACCACCCUGAUCUCUUUGGAACUCUAACCUACAUCCGUCAGCCGGAUGGGGGACACUGUCUGGUGGGUAGUUUGACUGGGGCGGUCGCCUCCCAAAGAGUAACGGAGGCGCGCGAUGGUUCCCUCAGCCUGAUUGGAAACCAGGCGUCGAGUGUAAAGGCACAAGGGAGCUUGACUGCGAUACCGACGAGUCGAGCAGGUACGAAAGUAGGUCUUAGUGAUCCGGUGGCGCCACAUGGAAGGGCCAUCGCUCAACGGAUAAAAGGUACUCCGGGGAUAACAGGCUUAUCACGUCCAAGAGUUCACAUCGACGACGUGGUUUGGCACCUCGAUGUCGGCUCAUCGCAUCCUGGGGCUGAAGUCGGUCCCAAGGGUUUGGCUGUUCGCCAAUUAAAGCGGUACGCGAGCUGGGUUCAGAACGUCGUGAGACAGUUCGGUCCCUAUCCGUCGUGGGCGCGGGACGCUUGAGAGGAGCUGACUUUAGUACGAGAGGACCGAGUUGGACGAACCUCUAGUGUUCCGGUUGUCGCGCCAGCGGCAUCGCCGGGUAGCUAUGUUCGGACGGGAUAACCGCUGAAAGCAUCUAAGCGGGAAGCCCCCCUCGAGAUGAGGCGUCCCUGAGCCUUCGGGCUCCUGAAGACCCCACGUAGACUACGUGGUUGAUAGGCGGGAGGUAGAAGUACAGCAAUGUAUGGAGCUAACCCGUACUAAUCGGUCGUGAGGCUUGACCAC